CCAGUCUUUACAAAGUGGUUUGAGCCUCCUACCAUCAAAAUUGACUGAAAGAGAGGAUGUUUACCUUUGUCACAGGGGAUGGGCCAUUACCAUUGUGACGUCGGCGCCCAUGGGUACUCUCCCUUUUCGAAACGUUUUGAAAGACAAUGCAACCGUCCCAAUGGAAUAUUAUUGAAGCCCUGGUUGAAAAAGCCCCUAAAGAUUUAUGUUAUACAACGUUUGACAUGUUUGAACGAACUUAAAUAUAUUUUUUUUGCUCAUUCCUGACGACAAGUCAGACACACACGGUACAUUUUCACUAGCCUUCGGAGCGCGCUAACACUAUUGGGACAUAAAUUAUUUGUUAUGGACCUGGGAUUCCUAGAAGUGCCUUCUGAUAAAGAUAAUCAAAGGAGUGUCAUCUGAUGAAGGUUGUCAAAGUUUGUUGUAGGUGGUACAGAAUCUGAUUCCACCAGCAUGUGCUUCCAACCCCUAGCUCUGCACAAGUUGAUGGUAAGUUGGCAAACAUAUUCACAAGCUGAUGGCUAAAAUAGCUCAAUUUACAGUAAGUAUGGCAUAAACAUGAAUUGUGUAGUGUUUUUUGGAAUUGUCCUACAGGUUGUUAGAGGUAGCCUGGGGACCACAGAGUACCUUCCAGACCAUGUAAUCAAUUUAGUCUACCCCAUUUCUCUUUUUACCCUUUCUCUUUGUAGAUCUCAGGUUAUCUGGAGUCCUUCCACAGUGCCCUGCUCAAAAAUACCCCAAAGCAGCUGCAUUUUGUUUACACGAGCAUGAGGGAGGGGACACACCUUGCGGCUAUGGAGCACAACAAUAUUGUGGGACAGAAACCAGCAAGGGACACUGAAUGGACCAUGUCUCAGGACUACUUGGCCUGAUGACUCCUUGCUGUCCCCAGUCCACCUGACCGUGCUGUUGCUCCAGUUCUGUUCUUCCUGUGGCUAUGGAACCCUGACCUGUUCACCGGAUGUGCUACCUGUACCAGACCUGCUGUUUUCAACUCUCUAGAGACAGCAGGAGCGAUAGAGAUACUCUGAAUGAUUGGCUAUGAAAAGCCAACUGACAUUUACUCCUGAGGUGCUGACCUGUUGCACCCUCGACAACCACUGUGAUUAUUAUUAUUUGACCCUGCUGGUCAUCUAUGAACAUUUGAACAUCUUGGCCAUGUUCUGUUAUAAUUUCCACUCGGCACAGCCAGAAGAGAACUGGCCACCCCUCAUAGCCUGGUUCCUCUCUAGGUUUCUUCCUAGGUUCUGGCCUUUCUAGGGAGCUUUUCCUAGCCACCGUGCUUCUACACCUGCAUUGCUUGCUGUUUGGGGUUUUAGGCUGGGUUUCUGUAUAGCACUUUGUGACAUCAGCUGAUGUAAAAGGGGCUUUAUAUAUAAAUGUGAUUGAUUGUAGCACAGAGAAUUUUCGACCAACCUUAGUUUGGCGAUACUGUCUUCGUCCUCGAUUCAGGAGUCUCAUGAAAUGUUUAUGUCCAGUUACAGGGGGCCCGUUUGAAUUUCGAAAACGCUCAGUUAUUAAAAGAAAAUACUUUUUUGC
rnacentral:lncRNA from 1 species